rnacentral:rRNA from 1 species
UACAGAGGGUGCGAGCGUUGUCCGGAAUCACUGGGCGUAAAGGGCGCGUAGGCGGCGCGGUAAGCGUGCGGUGAAAGCCCGGGGCUCAACCCCGGGUCGGCCGUGCGGACUGCCGGGCUGGAGCACUGUAGAGGCAGGUGGAAUUCCGGGUGUAGCGGUGGAAUGCGUAGAGAUCCGGAAGAACACCGGUGGCGAAGGCGGCAUCCUGGACCGGCAUUGACGCUGAGGAGCGAAAGCUAGGGGAGCAAACGGG